rnacentral:rRNA from 1 species
GGAUGACACUUUUCGGAGCGUAAACUCCUUUUCUUAGGGAAGAAUUCUGACGGUACCUAAGGAAUAAGCACCGGCUAACUCCGUGCCAGCAGCCGCGGUAAUACGGAGGGUGCAAACGUUACUCGGAAUCACUGGGCGUAAAGGGCGCGUAGGCGGAUUAUCAAGUCUCUUGUGAAAUCUAAUGGCUUAACCAUUAAACUGCUUGGGAAACUGAUAAUCUAGAGUGGGGGAGAGGCAGAUGGAAUUGGUGGUGUAGGGGUAAAAUCCGUAGAUAUCACCAAGAAUACCCAUUGCGAAGGCGAUCUGCUGGAACUUAACUGACGCUAAGGCGCGAAAGCGUGGGGAGCAAACAGGAUUAGAUACCCUGGUAGUCCACGCCCUAAACGAUGUACACUAGUUGUUGGGGUGCUAGUCAUCUCAGUAAUGCAGCUAACGCAUUAAGUGUACCGCCUGGGGAGUACGGUCGCAAGAUUAAAACUCAAAGGAAUAGACGGGGACCCGCACAAGCGGUGGAGCAUGUGGUUUAAUUCGAAGAUACGCGAAGAACCUUACCUAGGCUUGAUAUCCAACAAAUUCUGUAGAGAUACGGAAGUGCUAGCUUGCUAGAAUGUUGAGACAGGUGCUGCACGGCUGUCGUCAGCUCGUGUCGUGAGAUGUUGGGUUAAGUCCCGCAACGAGCGCAACCCACGUAUUUAGUUGCUAACAGUUAGGCUGAGCACUCCAAAUAGACUGCCUUCGUAAGGAGGAGGAAGGUGUGGACGACGUCAAGUCAUCAUGGCCCUUAUGCCUAGGGCGACACACGUGCUACAAUG